CCUUCCGCCGUCUUCUGGACCGGCCUCCUGCAAGUCCUAAUCUCAGCCCAAAUUCAGCGCUGGCUUCCAUCUGGAGAUCUUUGAUGGGUACAAAUGGUAGCCGACUUUCUUCGAUCAUCUCUCGAACGGGAGUUCGGUGAGCAGCAACUCGGCUCGUCCGGGAAUCCAGACUUUCCGGAAGACGGACCCUCCCCCCAGUCCAGCUUAGCCCGCCUCUCUAGGAUUUACGCGCGCGCUCUGCUCUCCCUCCUAACUCGACCCUCCCCUUGACCCACGCCUCUGCGCAGGCGCCUUGGCGGGCUGUGGCUGCGGAGUUGGCGGGUCGGCGCCUGCGCACUGGAGUCCCCCGCGAUUUUUUCCUCCGGGGUGGGCGAGGAGGCUGUGCGGCCUUCCCCAGCGGCUGUAGCAGGAGACCUGCGGCUGCAUCUCCCAGGGCCUUCCGGCGGGGCCGAGGGUAGGACCGAGGCACUUCUUCCUUGCAAGCGCGUUUAUUUGUAUUUUCAACCACACUUCAGACGCUACUGGUUUAUAGGAACGUUAAGUUUACUGAGUGUGCAGCUACGCUCCCCUGGGUUUUUGUUCCUUUCCUUAAAGGGCCAGGUGUAGGAGACAGUAGUCCUGCUCCCAAAAAAAGAAUAAAUAGAAGUGCCCGCCCUCUUGGGCUGGACCCCCGUGGCCAAGGGAGUUUUUAGUGAUGGCUGGCAUGGACGUCAGUAUGAAAGUGUACCGGAGUAUUAGUGAUGCUUAACUUUUCACAAUUUGAAUAUGCACUUAAGUAGGGCAGUGCAUUCCCUGAACUCAGCUUUAUGGCUACAGCCCAGUGAAGCAACGGGAUGUGAACUCCAAAACGGCGAAUCCUCCUUUGCUGUUUCCCUCUGGUGCCUUUCUGCAGCCUCGGAGUGAGUUCUUGGCUGUAGUCAGUUUUCAGUACCGUUAGUGACGAGUCCGGUGGGGCGCGGCCAGGAUUAGGAUGAAUCAUACAAGUGCUGGGUGGAUCCUGUCUUUACCUAAAAUUUUGAUAAUUAGUUGUGGGGCGCGGCCAGGAUUAGGAUGAAUCAUACAAGUGCUGGGUGGAUCCUGUCUUUACCUAAAAUUUUGAUAAUUAGUUCAUCAUGGGUUUUUUGCCUUUUUCAUUUUUAAAAAUGUUAAAAUAGUGUCACUCUUGAUGACUUAAAUUUUUUUCAUCCCCGUAAACGCACCUGAGGCCUGUGCUUCCUUGCCUCACCCUAACCUGGCCCUGGGGCUAGAUCCUGGAGAUUCAGGGUUGAAAAGACAAAGUCCUGUCCUUUAGGGAGUUUACAGAGACCAAUGGGAAAGAAGUUGACAGUGAACAAUUUCAGAACACGAAAGAGGAUAUGAAAGAAUGUAAUCGGGGGUAGAGAAUGCAGAUUAGUAUAGGUUAAGGAUUUUGGAUGGUCAGGACGCUUUCUGAGGCUUUGAACCCAGAUGCGUUGAACUGGCAAUGCAGGGCUGCAUAAUAAGCAGAGGGAAUAAUAAGCAGAGGGAAUGCCUGACUACGACUUAGUGAACAAGAGAGAGAGGAGAUGAGGUUAGAGAGGUAGGCAGAAGCCAGAUCCUGUGGGACCUUGUAGUUUUUCCAUGCAGAGUUUAGACUUUCUUCUGAUUGCAGUGGUUAGCUGUUGGAAGGAUUUUGGCAAGGUAGUUAUUUGUUGAUAGAAUAUUGAAAUUAUAAUAGCUUUUUUAUGUAAAAAAAAGAAUGUAAAUGUUAGCCUUUCAUUCUCACAAUAGGUUAGCAUUAUUUUCAGUGUACAAUGGUCGUGCUUCUCAGUGUGAGUUAAUUCUCACUGUGGCUACCAAAACCACACAGCUAGUAAGCGGAGAUUCGAGUGCCCGUCUGCAGGAUUCAAAAAGUCCAUGUCCUUUCCUCUUAUGCUAUGCUAGCCUAUAACACUAUCUGCUGGAGUCCUGGUUGGUUUUAGUACAUUUCACAUUACUUCACAGUUUGACCUUAGAGAUAAUUGUAUUCACCUCUUCUAUUUUCAGAUGCUGGCAUAAAUACAAAAUUCGAAGCAGGCAAGGUUUCUCAUUACAUUAGUUUUUAUUUGUAUUUUUUUGAGACUGAGUCUCGCUCUGUAGCCCAGGCUGGAGUGCAGUGGCGCGAUCUUGGCCCGCUGCAGUCCCUGCCUCCUGGUUCAAGCGGUUCUCCUGCCUCAGCCUCCCAAGUAGCUGGGAUUAUAGGCAUGCGCCACCACGCCUGGCUAAUUUUUAUAUUUUUAGUAGAGACGGGGUUUCACCUUUUUGUCCAGGCUGGUCUUGAACUCCUGAUCUCAACUGAUCCAUCCACUUUGGGAGUCAGAGGCAGGAGGAUUGCUUGAGCCCAGGAGUCAACAUGGUGAAACCCCAUCUCUACCAAAAACAAAAAAAGCAAAAAUUAGCCAGGCAUGGUGGUGCAUACCUGUAGUCCCAGCUACUUGGGAGGCCGAGGUGGGAGGAUGGCUUGAGCCCAGAGGCAGAGGUUGCAGUGAGCUGAGAUCGCAUCACUGCACUCCAGCCUGGCGACCAAAAAAUAAAGGGCAAGGGGACAUUCUGAAUUUUACUAGAAGCCAAUAGAUGUAUACACCUCAUUUUUCAAAUCAGCAUCAAUCAGUUGUUGGGUGUUUAGGUGGAACAUGAAGUGCAGAGAGAACUGCCCUCAUUCUUUCGUAAAAUUCUUAUCGCAGACCUAUCACAUGCAAAACAAUGGGAUAUAUGGAAAUAAAUGGGACAUGACACCUGCCCUUGUGCUUAUUAUCUGUGGGCUUGCCACAUAAUAGCCAUAAUAGGUGUUCAGUAAAUAAUUUCUGAAUACCAAUCAGGCAUAUCUGUGGGGGUAAGGUGUAUAAAAUAAAGCUAUGUGGAACACUGGAUGAGUCAAAUACAUUUAAAUUUGUGGAAAUUUUGGCCGGGACUGGUGGCUCACACCUGUAAUCCCAGCACUUGGAAGGCCUAGGUGGGCAGAUCACCUGAGGUCAGAAGUUCAAGACCAGCCUGGCCAACAUUGUGAAACCCCAUCUCUACUAAAAAUACAAAAAAUUGGCCAGGCAUGGGGGCGGGUGCCUGUAAUCCCAGCUACUUGGGAGGCUGAGGCAGGAGAAUCAUUUGAACCUAGGAGGCGGAGGUUGCAGUGAGCCGAGAUCACGCCAUUGCACUCCAGCCUGGCCAGCAAGAGUGAAACUCCAUGUCAAAAAGAAAAAAAAAAAUUGUGGAAAUUUUCAUAGAAAAAAAGGAGUUACUUCUAUGUACCAGGAUAAGGGAAUAAUCUGUAGGACAGGGUUUCUUAACCUCAGCACAUUUUUGGCCAGAUAAUUGUUGUAGGAUGUUUAGCAGCAUCUCUUUUAUUCCAUCUUCCAGUUGUGGUAACUGUCUCUAAACGUUGUCAGAUGUCUCCUGCGGGGGCAAAAGACCCUCUGGAUGAGAACCAUGGCUGUAGGGGAUGUCUUCUGAAGAAAUGGGCACAAAGGAGGCCUACAACAUAAAGAACAAAAUAAGGGAAAGGGUAAAUGCAGUUGCAUUUAUCAGGAUAAUUUAAUUUGAUGUGGCAUGGGGGGUGGUGUAUAAAGUGAGCUAAUACAAAAUGAUGCUGGAUACAGAUCAUGGAUGUAUUGUAUACACAGUGGAAAGCUGGUUUUAUUUGGGAGACAAUGGGAGCUUUUACAUUGUUGAGCAAAGGAGUGACGAGAUCAGUCUUGCUUUUUAGAAAGAUUAGUUUGGCAGUUACUUAUUUGUAACCAGAAUUAGACAGCAAAUCGGAUGCAGGGGAGAAGUCAGGUGACUAUUAGUCUGCGAAGUAAUUCUGGACAAGAGCAGUGGUAAUGGAAUUGAAAAGGAUUAAAAGUGUUUACCAGGUUUUAGCAAUAAAUCCAAUGCGAGGAAGAGGAACGUAAGAUGACAUUUUAAAUUUGAGAGUGGUAGUACCAUUAAAAACUAAUGAAUUUUGAUUAACUAGUGCUUUAGGCCCUUUGAAAUUAUU
rnacentral:lncRNA from 1 species